UACAGAGGGUGCAAGCGUUAAUCAGAAUUACUGGGCGUAAAGCGCACGUAGGCGGUUUUUUAAGUCAGAUGUGAAAGCCCCGGGCUCAACCUGGGAAUUGCAUUUGAAACUGGGAAACUAGAGUGUGUGAGAGGGGGGUAGAAUUCCAAGUGUAGCGGUGAAAUGCGUAGAGAUUUGGAGGAAUACCAGUGGCGAAGGCGGCCCCCUGGCACAACACUGACGCUCAGGUGCGAAAGCGUGGGGAGCAAACAGG
rnacentral:rRNA from 1 species